rnacentral:rRNA from 1 species
AACUUUCAGCGACGGAUCUCUUGGCUCUCGCAUCGAUGAAGAACGCAGCGAAAUGCGAUAAGUAAUGUGAAUUGCAGAAUUCAGUGAAUCAUCGAAUCUUUGAACGCACCUUGCGCUCCUUGGUAUUCCGAGGAGCAUGCCUGUUUGAGUGUCA